UACGUAGGGUGCGAGCGUUGUCCGGAAUUAUUGGGCGUAAAGAGCUUGUAGGCGGUUUGUCGCGUCUGCUGUGAAAUCUCAAGGCUCAACCUUGAGCUUGCAGUGGGUACGGGCAGACUAGAGUGUGGUAGGGGAGACUGGAAUUCCUGGUGUAGCGGUGAAAUGCGCAGAUAUCAGGAGGAACACCGAUGGCGAAGGCAGGUCUCUGGGCCGCUACUGACGCUGAGAAGCGAAAGCAUGGGGAGCGAACAGG
rnacentral:rRNA from 1 species